rnacentral:misc_RNA from 1 species
UUUCCGUAGGUGAACCUGCGGAAGGAUCAUUCAUAAUAAGUGUUUUAUGGCACUUUUUUAAAUCCAUAUCCACCUUGUGUGCAAUGUCAGGGUUGGUCUCUUUUGAUCAACCCCAAACAUCAACUAUUAUCUCAACUCUUUGUCUGAAAAAUAUUAUGAAUAAAACAAUUCAAAAUACAACUUUCAACAACGGAUCUCUUGGCUCUC